rnacentral:rRNA from 1 species
GACGAACGCUGGCGGCGUGCCUAAUACAUGCAAGUAGAACGCUGAAGAGAGGAGCUUACUCUUCCUGGAUGAGUUGCGAACGGGUGAGUAACGCGUAGGUAACCUGCCUUGUAGCGGGGGAUAACUAUUGGAAACGAUAGCUAAUACCGCAUAACAAUGGAUGACACAUGUCAUUUAUUUGAAAGGGGCAAUUGCUCCACUACAAGAUGGACCUGCGUUGUAUUAGCUAGUAGGUGAGGUAAUGGCUCACCUAGGCGACGAUACAUAGCCGACCUGAGAGGGUGAUCGGCCACACUGGGACUGAGACACGGCCCAGACUCCUACGGGAGGCAGCAGUAGGGAAUCUUCGGCAAUGGGGGCAACCCUGACCGAGCAACGCCGCGUGAGUGAAGAAGGUUUUCGGAUCGUAAAGCUCUGUUGUAAGUCAAGAACGGGUGUGAGAGUGGAAAGUUCACACUGUGACGGUAGCUUACCAGAAAGGGACGGCUAACUACGUG